ensembl:lncRNA
GAGGGGAAUCAUGAGUGUGAGGCCAGCCUGAGUCAAUCCUGAGACCAUCUGAAAAAGAAAAAAAAAUCUUCCAGGACUCAGAUGAACUAGGACGAUGUUGUCACCAGCAGACCUGCACCAUGAGACAGAAUUGCUGAGAAAAUAUCCUGAGAGAGGAAGGGUAAUGAGAGCGGCCCAAGAGCAGAGAGAGGCUGUGGGUUUGUGGGAGAUGGCCUGUGGAGGGAACUUCAAAGACAACAUUUCAGGAAUCAUUUCUCGAGUCUGAAGGGACUCUCCACCUCCCGCUCUUUAGUAGCUGGAUAGGUCAGAUUGACAGGACCCAUAGGAGAUCAAAAUCAGGAGGAGGUGGGGGCUUAGAAACGACGACGGCAAAGAUUUAAAAGGCACAAGGAGCUGAUGAAGAGGCAUGAGGCAGAGCACCUUAGAGAAAGUUCAGGCAGGAUGCCCUUCUGGCCUCGUGGAGGCCAGCCAGAGUGUGUCUCAAGAGUCUUCCAUGAGAAGAUUCUAAAGGCACACGUUCUAAACCUACACGGCCCACAUCCUAACAGCCAUGUGAAGACCUUCCUCUUGCAGAGAGGAUUUUCAUUAAAGGUUCCUUAACC